rnacentral:rRNA from 1 species
AUUGAACGCUGGCGGCAUGCCUUACACAUGCAAGUCGAACGGCAGCACGGGUGCUUGCACCUGGUGGCGAGUGGCGAACGGGUGAGCAAUACAUCGGAACAUGUCCUGUAGUGGGGGAUAGCCCGGCGAAAGCCGGAUUAAUACCGCAUACGAUCUACGGAUGAAAGCGGGGGACCUUCGGGCCUCGCGCUAUAGGGUUGGCCGAUGGCUGAUUAGCUAGUUGGUGGGGUAAAGGCCUACCAAGGCGACGAUCAGUAGCUGGUCUGAGAGGACGACCAGCGACACUGGGACUGCGACACGGCACAGACUCCUACGGGAGGCAGCAGUGGGGAAUUUUGGACAAUGGGCGAAAGCCUGAUCCAGCAAUGCCGCGUGUGUGAAGAAGGCCUUCGGGUUGUAAAGCACUUUUGUCCGGAAAGAAAUCCUUGGCCCUAAUACGGUCGGGGGAUGACGGUACCGGAAGAAUAAGCACCGGCUAACUACGUG